rnacentral:rRNA from 1 species
UACGGAGGGUGCGAGCGUUGUCCGGAAUCACUGGGCGUAAAGGGCGCGUAGGCGGCCUGAUAAGUAGGGGGUGAAAUCCUGCGGCUUAACCGCAGGGCUGCCUUCUAAACUGUCGGGCUAGAGCACGGUAGAGGCAGAUGGAAUUCCCGGUGUAGCGGUGGAAUGCGUAGAGAUCGGGAAGAACAUCAGUGACGAAGGCGGUCUGCUGGGCCGUUGCUGACGCUGAGGCGCGACAGCGUGGGGAGCAAACAGG